rnacentral:lncRNA from 1 species
GUAACAUUUUUAUAUAUCAGUUAAGGAAACAUUUAAAUUAAAACAAUAAUCCUAAUACUAAAAAGAAGAAAUAAUUAAAUAUUUUGCAUCCUGUGUGUGAGAACAAUGUAUUUUUUUAAAUUUAUGACUUUGGUACUUCAUCUAAGUAAGAGUGGGGCUUUCUUCAGUAAGUUAUAGGUGUGAAACACGAAACUUGAUGAACGAUUUUGUUCCUAAAAAUUUAUGAUCCGUUGUUCUACUUGAAAACAUAGUAACACGUAGGUACAUUUUGGGGUUUUUUUGUUGUUUUUUGGUACCAGGGAUUGAACUCAGGACCUUGCGCUUUCGAGGCAGGAGGAGGCACCACUGAGCUAAAUCCCUGGCCCACAGAUUUAGCGAGGUCUGGAGCUACUGGUGUGGAAUGGGACAUAAGAACUGUGAGCCUCGGACAGCAGCCCUUUACCAGGUAUUUGGAGGUUGACCUGGACUUAGCUGUGUUAAGCUGCCUGCACCACAGGAAACCACCUCCCUCGCUGCUGCUUGCUGCUUUCUCUUUAGCCAACACCCAAAGCCACUGCCAGUGUCAGGGAGAUGAGACUUCACAGGGCAAUGCCUGUUUGUGAGAUUGUGUGCAGUCAUCCCUUUGAAGUGUUGGUUCUGAGAAAAGAUCUCUGUAAUUUUCCAUGAUCUUCAUCAACAAACAGGAAAUGCAGGGUCACUAGUACUUCAAGAAAUUGGACAGAAAAAUGAAAAGAGGUUCUCAAAAUAUUGAAGCAACGGAAGACCCAAGCUACCCCUCCCUGUAUGUAUCAUCAGCUCUCUCUAACUGAUGGGAAGUUGCACAUAGCCAAGGAUGAAAAAUAUCUCCAUACAAGAUUAUCUGGAAAAUUGAUCCAAGCAGGAUGAGAUACCAUGUAGUAGUAUUCAGUCUUCAGAGUUGGUGGUCUGAACUUGAAAUUUUUCAGUUAUUCUACAUCAAGUCCUGAACUACUGGUUAGUGUGAAGAAGGAAGGAGCAGGACGUCUGCUGAGGCUAGAAGCAGUGAGGCUGUCACUAGCAGGCUGGGGACCUGAGAAGCACUGUGGAUGGGCGGAAGCAGCUGCACUAGGGACCUCAGAAGUGGACACCUGGAGAAGACACAUGUCCAGGGCACUUGGGAGCCAACAGAAAUUGAUCUUAGC